UGUUCUCUUCAGAGCAGUGUCCUUUAGCUGGCUGCUCACAGUCUGGCAGUAGCUCUCAGUUUAGCAUCGACAGGAGUCUCUUGGGGGCUUAGGAAAGCAGAGCUCACAGGCCCACCCAGGCGGCUGGGUCAGAAGAGAGGGAAGAGCCGAGGCUGAUUCCUAGGCUGCUGGAUCGGAUGCCAGAGGCGUGGCGUUUGGAAGACGGAAAACGCUGGAUGGAGAAGGAGCUGGGCUGAGGGGAAAGACGAGGAGCCUCAUUGGGUCAUGCUGAUCCUGAGAUACCACGAAGACAGCCCAGGAGUGGCGGUCCCGCGGCCUCCUGUGAUACAUGCGGCCCGGCCCUCAGUGAACAAGUCUGGGCUGGAGAUACAGACCCGGCGUCAUCACCACAGAGGCGGUAAUUAGGGCCCUGGGAGAAGAUGAGGUCACCCCAGGGGGCAGACAGAGCAAGACAGGGUUUCAACUUCACAGUAAAGUUCCUGAGUCAUGGACGAUCUGCAUGCGGUGAAUCACCCUGAGAAAAGCCUUGUUAUCUGGUUGAUGUGGCCAAAUUCAAAGGUACUAGCAUCAUUCAUUGGAGGCGUUUUAUUUAAUCAAAGGGCCUAGUGCCAAGAACGAUGGUGGUGGCAAAGGAGGAGGAGAAGGACAGAAGGAGGAGAGAAAAGGAAGAUGACAAAGCCACGAUAACAGCACUGCUCUCCCUGUGUCAGGCCUGGUCUAAGUGCUCUGCGUGUGCAAAGUACUGAAGCAGCUGCAACCCUAACCCUACGAGAUGUAUUGCUUCUUCACAUCCUGGAGAAUGUAGUGUGGGAAUUGCUGGUCUAAAAAAAAGACUAAAGCAAAAACAUCAGAAGAAAGAUUCUCCCGCAGCCCUCCUGUUAUUACUGGUUAGUUUCACUCUAAAUCUUGCUGUUCUUCGAACAAGACGGAAAGCUAACAUCUAGGCACACAGGGACUCACCUUUAAC